AUUUCAAGUAUCUGUUUCUUCCUGUGAGGAAACAGAUUGGUCCUCACGCCUGUGACACAUGCGAGCUUAGUCAUGCUCGAGGAGUCUGCUUGUGAAGAUUGACCCACUCUACUCUUCAAUACAGCAGGAGAGGCUUGUGGAAUAGAAACACAUGGCCUUCCAAUGAGCUUUUUCUGAUAUGUAAAUGCUAUGCCAAGAAAACUGUACCCAGCUUAGCUACAGAUACACAGCCUUUGUUUGUCGGUUUGCUGGAGUGGGGAGCAGUAUGGUAAAUGCACCUGACAACAGUAACUUAAAGCAUAUCCUGAGAAUGACCCUGUGUGGCAGACGUGUGUGUUCGGAGUUCCGAGCUAAAAAAAUCCAGGAGUGGCCAACAACCUGAAUCCCUGGCUCGUGGAAUACAGAGCAUACAGGGGACUGAGCCCCUUUGUUGUGGAUUAAAUGAAGGUUGCCAGGUGGAGGUUCUUCUGGGGAGGAUGGAAAGUGCUGUGGUCAUGCUGACAUAGAUCUGCAUCAGGACUGCGAGGAUUGGAAGAGGAAAUAAGCUGAAUAAUUCCAAAGCAGUCUGACAUCUGUGCAAGUUUGGACGUCUUCUCAUUAAAUGCAGACAGCACAUGUUCUUUCAACAUGUCCUGCAUCCCUUUGGUUCUGCUCAGAAAAUGGAAAGCAUGCUAGAUUUUCCAAGACUCUAGAGGAAAUCACCUCUUCCAGUUGAGGACCUUCAGAGGCCUUCACAUCCA
rnacentral:lncRNA from 1 species